CUUCUUUAAUCCAGAUUAUCGCCUUUGCUUUGGAAGGCAAACAUUCCAGAUCCACACGUCGACCUAAGUCUUCAAAUUACCAGAAGCUGGAACAACAUAUGUGAUCCAAAGCUGCCCAGAGGAGAUGAGAAAACGGCUUUCGUAGAUGGCGAGUGGAUACAAAUCAUGGAUCUGCACUAAG